UAAAAGCGAAAGAGUCGGCGGAAGGCAUCCUCCCCGCCUUCCCGGCCCAGCACCGCCGCCCCCGCCGCCAUUUUGGCUGCGCCGCCGCGGUCGGACGGCGCGCGCUGCUGAGGCGGGGCGGGGCGGGGUAACGCCGCGGCUCACAAGAUGGCGGCGGCGCGUGGUACCUUGCGGCGGUCCCGGAGGCUCUUCGACAUCUUCGUGGCCGAGGUUCCUUGGACGGUGUCGAGCAAGGAGCUGAAGGAGUACUUCUCCCAGUUCGGAUCGGUGCAGAGAUGCCAGUUGCCCUUCGACAAAGACACAGGCUUUCACAAACGUUACUGCUGGAUUAAAUUCUCAUCUCCAGAAGAGGUUCAGAAUGUGCUUCAGAAGGACUCCCACAUACUGGAAGGUGCCAAGCUAUCUCUCAGACAGCAGCAAGGUAGAAGACACCUUCAACCAAAGAGAGAAUCAGUGUGAAUGAACUGUGGAAAGAGGCUUUAUUUCACUAGGCAUAAAGAAACUAAAAUAAAGAUAAUGGAGAAACUGUAGCUGUCCUUCGCAGAGGAACUAGUGUGUGUAUAUGCAUCUCCACAUAGCACAAGAGUUCUGAACUGCUUCUUUACGUGACAUCCCCCUAUAUACCUCUGAUAUUAAAAAAUGCCUUUUGUAUGAA